CUCGCCUGCCUUGCCCAGCCAGGCUCCCAUCUCUCACCGGCAGGCCCUCUCUUCCCUUUGGAGGCUGCAAGGCUCACUGUGUCCUCAGGCCCCCUGGGGCCCCCUGCACCCCCAGGCCUGCCAGCCCCUCCCUCUUCGGGCUCUUCCCUCGGCGCCUGGCCUCCCUCUCUGCGAUUCACUCUUCCUUUGCUCGGGAUCCCCCUUCUGGCCCUUCUCUGGCCUCCAGCCACCUGGGCAGACUUCUCAACUGUCCCUACAUCUUUCCUGCCCCGUCACCUGCUCCUUCCAUCUCCCCACCUUUGGGUCAUUUUGCAGACCGUUCCAGGGGCCCAAUGCCCCUGCCACCAGCGGGCACCCGGCCCGCUCAGAGCUCUGUGAGUCAGGCACCUGCUGGACGCAGGGAGCAGCCCAGGGUGGGCAGCUGUGGGGCCGCCUGGCGGGCCCUCCAGCGCUCCGGGAAGUCCCCUUCUCCACAGACAGAAGCCAGGAAAGACUGGACUGGCCAGAAAUGGGGGCACCCACCUCUGUACUCUUCUGUCUGCCCAACUGGGCCAGACAGCUCGAGUUGGGGCAGUCCCAAAGUGACAGCGUGUCCCCCGAGGAAGGUGAGUCCUGGGGGAUGCUGACUGAUGGAGCGUGGGGAGGGGUGACCCCUGAGAGCCGGAAGCGGAGCCCGGGCCCGCUGCCCUCUCCAGAGAGCAGAGGGCCAUGUGGUCAAGGUUCAAACUGUGCUUCGCUUUGGCCCCUGCAGACUCCUCAGUCUUGACACCGCCUUCCUGCGGGCUGAGCGCCCUUGACCUGAGAACACUCCCUCGCACUGGUGCCUCUUCCCUGGAUUGAGGGUCUGGGGAGCCCGGAUCCCGCCUGCUGAUGGUCUCAAGUUUGCAAAUGUUUGUGAAGUGAAUGCAAUUUAUCAGGAAUCUACAACCUUAGGCUCUGACUUUUAAUGCCAAGGGC
rnacentral:lncRNA from 1 species